GUUCCUUCAAGAGCAAGUGAAAGCUAGUGAAGAGGAAACAAACAGUACAGUUUAAAUCCCAUUAUAGAGGUAUUGAGAGGAUGCGUUGGGAGCAGGCAAGAAGAAUUACCAUGGGAAAAUCUGAGAAACAUUUUUAAGGGGAUGAAGAAUAGGAAAUUAUCGUAAGACACACUGGGAGAGAUACUGCUCAUGUCAAUUGGAAGAGCAACAUAAAAACAUGAAGAUGGCAACAAGGGGCUACUUCUGGGCAUCCUGUGAGUCAAGAUGCUGAGACAUACAGUUUCACUUAUUUUUGACAUCCUGAAGGCAACUGGAUGUUUCAAGUUCAGAUGAUGAGAAAGGUCUCCAUAAAAUUCAAGCUUUGGGGUAUGAAAACAGUGUUCAAAUAAAGCUGCUAGAGGUGCUUUCAAACACUGCCAAAAACGAAGAUGACAUGAUGAUAAUCUAAUAGACUUGGAGCCAGCAUCUGACAGUGGUGUCUUUAAGAGUUGAUUGGGCUCCUUCCUCCUGAGUGGGUUUAAGUACCUAACAAAAGAGGCUUCAAGCAGUAUUCAGCUCUCUUGCCCUUCCGCUCUCUGCUAUGUGAAGACACAGUGUUCCUCCCCUCUCCCUUCUGGAAGACACAGCGACAAUGUGCCAUAUCGGAAGGAAGCAGAGAACAUCCCUCACCAAAUAAUCAAUCCUGCUGGUGCCUUAAUUAUGAACUUCUCAGCCUGCAGAACUCAUGAAGGCCAUCAUCGGAUGUGGGCUGAUUGAUCUUGGACUUCCAAGCCUCCAGAACUAGAACUACUCCACCAUCAUCUGAUGUGGUUCUGAUGGCUGUGUGUUUCUCAGCUUUAUCCUCAGCCUGUGGGUAAUUUAAAAUAAAUACUUUUGCAAGUGAACCAAUAGAAAUAUUUCACUGUCAUUGGGCAGAAAGCUAAAAACCUAAUUACGUUGGAAGUAGGAAGAGGAAGUAAGUAUGGUUGGAAGAGGUGGAGUCUGGUGCUGCCAGAGCAGAAAGCACAAAGAAGAACGUGCUUUUAGGUGGGUGCCCUAAGAGACAUGAUAAGUGAAAAAGGAUUAUUUGGGCCUUUCAUGCAUAAAUGACAAGAGAAGAAAUGGCUGUCAUUCAUCCUGAAAUAUGAAGAGAAGGUGAGAGGUCAAGGUCACAUAUCACUUGGAGAUGAAGAUGUGCACCAGGAUCUAUGCAGCCCUUUUGCCUGUGCUGUCAUUCCUCGUAACUGGGAAACAUGCCUUCCUUUUCAUUCUUAGCAAUCUACAACGUGGACUGAGCCCCCCACUCUCACUCUCAAUCCUGUCCCUUCUAAUCUUUGUUUUGGGUGCUGGGCCGUGACCUUAUAUUAUUGAUGACAUUUUAAAGAUUAAAUUUCUGGAUAAUGCGCCAGUUCCUACUGAUCAUGACAUCCUCAGGAGCAGGGUCACUGGGGCUGGAAAGCAGGAAGGGGUAGAGGGAGCUUCUGCCUAUGAAUGUGACUUUCUAAGGAAAAGUUAGCAUGAUAAAGGAGGAAGGUCUUUUCAAAAUGUAGUGGAAAUAUUAUCAAACUACCACACUUAAAUUCACACUACAAUGUAUCUGUGACUGAGUGACUAACUGCCUGCAAAUGCUUUCUCUUCCAAGAAGUAGGUAAUGAGAAUUGUAUUUUAGAAAUUCUCUAUUUCAAACAGAAUUCUGUAGGAGGUGCAGGCCUCUUUAUACAUUAUUAAAUCUCUCACUGAGGAAUUUUUCCCCUGAAAUCUGACCUAAGGUUUUUCAUUGGAAACCCUUGAAUUCUCAGUUGAUAUGGAAUGCUUAGCAACUUAAGUGAGCUGCAUCACUCUGAAUUUGAUUUCAUUUUCCUAGUACUGAAGUGUGUUUCCAACAUCUGCAAAUGAAUCCGUGACUUCCUGUUCUUUGUCACCGACUCCACCUGACUUUGCUGUGCCCAUGCUUCAUUUUGCAACAAGUAACAGUUUUCCUUUGUUUCCAGUAGAGAAAGAAGAAAGUUGGAAACCCCCUUUUUUGCCACUUCAUGAUUCCAGCUGGGCUACACAAGGAACUUAAAGAAGCUUGCGAAUUGUUCUUGCUCCAUCAUGUCCUUCGGUGUCCCAGCUUACACUUACUCUUUAGGGAAUGUACUACUAGUUGCCUAAAUGCAGCAGGAGAACUAAAUAGGGAUUUUAAUAAAUAAGGGAAACAGAUGGAGGCUAGAAGCUCGCAAAGUUAAAAGAAUUGUGUGCUUAAUAGACUAAAUGCUUAAUCGCAGUAAUAGCUGCCAAGCCACCACAUAACUCACCAGUAUGCAUGAACUGUAGCAGUAAGAGAGUGACUGCUUUCAGUCUCAAGGACUUUCCUAAAAAUUCAAGGUUGUAAGAACCUAACCUAGAGAAUAAUUACUUGUCCAGACGUGAUAACAGACUCUGGCAGAACAAAAAUGACAGCUUGAUUCACAGACAAAUAUAAGUCGGUCUUGGAUGUCUGGCUUCCAUUUUUCUGUGGAGAGAUAGAUGUCUUUAAAAAGCCUCAGCAGUGAACAUCCUGUCAGUUAAAAAGGUCAGACACUGAAGUGUAUCAGAAGAGAUGAUGCUGCAUAGACCAUUGAGAGAAAAGAAAAUGAUUUCAUUAUCCUCGUUCAUCUGCUAUAGAUUAAUUCAGUUCCCAUCAUCGUAGCAAUUAAGGUAUUUUUGUAGUCCUGUCCUGACCUAGCUGAGGUGGAACAAGGUAAUAAAAAGAGGCAUCAAGGAGAAGGCUACUACAGCUGAGUUAAUACACCUUAGGAACAAGUGCUGUUAGUAACAGAGUUUGGGGUUGAUACAUUCAACUACAAUGCAUUAAGAAACACACACACACACACACACACACACACACAGACACACACACACAAAGCAUGCAAAUCCCCUAGAAACAUUUUCCUAUAUAUUAGAGUGUAAAAUUUGCAUCUUGUAUACCCAGUGAACUAUACCAGUGCUUGAAAACAAUUUUGUAAAAGACAGUUUUCUAUUCACAGUAUAUAAGUGGAUGAAACACUUAUAUAAGUGAAUGGAGAAAUAGAAGAAUGCUGGAAGGAUUGCUGCCCUCCAGGUCAAAUGGAGGGCUUAUUUAUUUUUUAUUUUUUUGCCAACCUGAGCUCUCAAUAGUUUGAGUGCAGCAUCUAGAAAGAGGACAUAACAGAUCCUCCUAAACUAGCUCCUUCUAAUUUUCUAUUUGCUCAGUCACUCUAGUUUAAAACCUUUGUCUUCAUGUUUAGCCACUCUUCUAGCACUCCUUAUACUAUUUGCCAAUUUAUAUUCCUUCCACUUCCUUCUAUUCAUUGUGCCUUCACAAGGUCAUAUCACUCCCCUUCUUUCCACUUUCACUUACACAGUCCUCACAGAAGCCCUCAUUACUCCUCACUUGGACAACCAUUAUAGCUUUCUAACUCACUCCCCACCUAUCCUUUUCAAACUCUAAUGUAUCCUACUCUCAACCAACAUAUUAAUCUUUCUAAACCUUAUCUUUAAUCGUGUCACCCCCUUGCUUGAAAAUGUCAAAAGGCUUUCCAGUGACUACUAAAUGAAAUGCUAAGUUAUCACCCUAGCACCCAAGGCUCCCCAGAGCAAGCAGCAGCCAACCAUUGGUGCCUUAUUUCCCAGUAGUCUUUUAUCCCCCCUGUACUCUGAUCUAUCCAGCCAGCCCAUGAACUGCUUCUUAGACACAUCUCCUGAACAGUUCCAUUUACGCUUCUACUCAUUCUUUUCCUUGUUAUUGGAAUGCCAUUUCCCUCACUUUAACUUGGAGUUCAUUCCAUCCUCCAAGGUCAGUCAUUCCUUCAGGUAACAUUUCUUGACUUCACCCUACUGAACAUAAUUCUCCAUUAUUUGUACCUCUCUUAAGGUACUAAUUAUAACCUUAUAGAACAGUUAAAAUAUUGAAGGGACUUGAAAUAAGAGCUAUUUAAACCUGUCUCUACAUAAUAAAAUAUUUUUUUAUUUUUACAUAAUAAAAAUUCAGCAAAAUUGAGUAAGAGCCAACUCCAUGCUUGAAAUGCAUCAAUGAACAAAGAAAAGCCUUACAAUCUAGAGGGAGGAAACAGACACCUAGACAUUUCAAAAUAUACAAAGUAAAUAAUAAGUAAAUUAUAUAACAUACUAUAUGUUGGCAAGUGUGAUUUUAAAAAAUAGAGUAAAGGGGAUGAGGGAGUCAGGACAGGUUGCAAUUCUAACUUUGGUUGUUAGGCCUCUUUACAAAGGCAGUAUUUAAGAAAAGACCUAAAGGAGAUAAAGGAGUUUGCCACAUAUCUACCUGGGCAACACGCAACCUCAGCAAAGGAAAUCUCAUCCUAUGCAAAGGCCCUGAGGCCUGUGCUGUUCAAUAAAGAGCAAAGAGUCAGGUGUGUCUGGAAUAGAAUGAGCAAGGAAGAAAGAGAAAAUGAGGUCAGAGAAAUAAAGAGGACAGAAGGAAGAGCUUGGAAGGUUUUUAGUUCAUUGUAGGACUCCAUUCAGUAAAACAGGAGAAACUGCAAGUUUUUCACACAUCCCGAGUAAAGGAGUGACAUAAUCUGACUUGCAUUUUGAAAGGAUCAUUCUGAUUGCUCUGUCGAGAUUACAUUGUGCAGGCAAAGAUAGGAGCAAGGGUACCUAUUAGGAAAGUAUAUUAUGUGAAUCUGGUAAGAGAUGACGAUGGUUUAGGUUAAAGUGAUAGUAAUAAAAGUAAUGGGAAGUGGUCAAAAUAUGGCUAUAUUUUCAUGGUAGAGCCAAUGAGAUUUUCUUGUAGAUUAAAUGUGGAAUGGAAAUAAAGAAAAGAGUCAAGAAUAACUAAGAUUUUUGGCUAAACAACUUACAAUGGAGUCAGAUCAAUUGAGAUGUAGAAGUUCGUGGGUUAAACCAUUUGGGGAGAAGGGCAAAUAUUAAAUGUUCACUUUUGAACAUACUUUCAGUUUGAGAUUUCUACUAGGUAUCUGAGUUGAAAAAUUGAGCAGGCAGUUCGAUGAGUCCAACUAUAAAAUGGGGAUAAUAAAUCUUACAAUAAUGAACAGAGGUGACCUGAAAAUUCAUAAAAGAUAAAAUAUAUGUACAAAUUUCAUCUUUGUUUAUGCUAUACUGCAUGUGAUUUUAUUAUUAUUGAGUUUGUGUAUGUGGUAUGUAUGUAUUUGUGUUUAUUAUGUAUUCUAUAUCAUCUGGAUGCCAAAUCUAUGUUUACUUUUUCAUUUUCAAAAAAAUAUUAGCUUUCUCUUGUUACAAAUUAAUGCAUCUUCAUUGUAGGAGAUACACUUCACCCAAAGUAAAAACUGUUAACAUUUCAAAGUAUAUUAUUCUUGAACUUUAUUUUUGAAGGAUUUUUACUUUUUGGGCAUCACCCUCAUAAUUUUACCCUUUGAAUUGAUGUGUUUAAAAUAUUCAUUUCAAUUAAAAUAUGUGUCUCAGGUUUUCAAAACAUAAGCUAUUUAAAAGAGACAUAGAAAACUACGCUUUCUUGACUGCUUUACAACUUCCUCCAUUUCCUUGGGUGGUGUUAACUUUAGCCAAAAGCUGCCUUCUUACAUAUUUUAAGUUUGGCCUGAAGGUUUCCCCAUAUAUAGUGCUCUGUAACCUAACUGGAUGUGUAAACAUGCUGUAAUAUACUCUUUUACCAAUCACUGAGUUUCGGCCAAUCAAAGGCAGGCAAAUGUUGAAACCAUGUCCAAAUAAGACAAACGCUGAGCUGUGACCAAUCCAGCUGUUCUCUGUAGCUCACUUCUGUUUUCUGUACAUCACUCUUCUUUUUCAGUCCAUAAAUUUUCUUUGACCACACAGCACAGACAGAGUCUCUCUAAACCUAUUCUGGUUCGGGUGCUGCCUGAUUCGUGAAUCAUUCUUUGCUCAAUUAAACUUUGUUACCUUUAUCUAAGGUUUUUCUUUUAACAAUUGUAAAACUGAAACUUGAAUCCAAGAUUUUCAAGUUACAAAAAAAGCAUUCUUUUUUUAUAUUACACCUUCAAUAUGUAAAAAAUAAGUACAUAAAUAAAAAAAUAGAUCUUUCAUUUCAGAAUCUCCUAUGGAGGAUCCUCAAUAAUUGCCAUAAACCCACUAACAUGAACUGUGUGAUUUUGUCAUGAAUUUUUAACCUAAUGCCUGGCUCUAUUUUAUGUUUUUCUUUACUGUCUUAUUCCUAAUGUAUACCAUCUAAUUGCAUCUUAUGUGUGUCUUUUUAAGUUUUUUUUUUAAUCCUUUCUGGAACAAGGCACAAAUCAACAAACCAAUAAACAGAUUUAUAAACAGAUUUAUGCCAUGUACAUAGGUCCUAGAUAUGAGUUACUGCAAAUUGUCUGACUCCCAGGUGAGACAGAGGAAAAGAUAUUGACACACAGUAUGGCAACUUUAAAUACUCGUAAUUGCAUACUUUGGAAAAAGGUGGCUUUUGUUUCUUAGAUUGGCUCAUUAUGAAAAAAGAAAAAAUUGUCUUACACACUUCCUCUAUCACUUUCUUUUCCAGUUGGAAGAAAAAAAAACCGAUUAAUCAAAUAUUGCUGCAAAAGCCAACCCCCC
rnacentral:lncRNA from 10 species